rnacentral:rRNA from 1 species
GUUUUUUGGAUUCCCGGUUUCGUAGGUGAACCUGCGGAAGGAUCAUUGAAUCUAUCACAAUCCACAACCGUGAACCAUACUGUUGGCCUCUCAAUGGGCUUGCCUGUUGAGGCUAGUUGUGAGCUUAGUUUGCACUUCGCUCACAGCUAGGUCGUAGCUAGGGCAUCUUUGCUUCUAGCUGCGUCGGUCUUUACUAACCAACCAACACCAAACCAAACUAAAAUAAAAACCGAGUGUACAGCUUAGAGCUGUCACUCACAAACCAAGACAACUCUCAACAACGGAUAUCUUGGCUCUCAGAUCGAUGAAGAACGCAGCGAAAUGCGAUACGUAGUGUGAAUUGCAGAAAUACGUGAAUCAUCGAAUCUUUGAACGCAUAUUGCGCUCGAGGCUUCGGCCAAGAGCAUGUCUGCCUCAGCGUCGGGUUAAUACUCGCUCUAUCCCUUCCUGGUGGGGGAUAUGAACGGAUCUGGCUGUCUCGGCAAUCCAUUGGACUGCCGGGUCAGCUGAAGUGCAGAGGUUGAUGCAUGGACCCGCUAAUGGGCCUCUACUGGGUAGGCAAUUCGUUGCUAAUGCUUUAGUAGAUGGCUUGGGACUGUGCCUGUCGGCCCAAACCAGGAACUCAGCCUCGUGCUGAGCAAAACCCCUAUUUUCUCGACCUGAGCUCAGUGCAAGAUUACCCGCUGAACUUAACAAAUGGGAAUCCAAAAA